rnacentral:rRNA from 1 species
CCGCGGUAAUAUUGGUCAAUGGACGCAAGUCUGAACCAGCCAUGCCGCGUGGAGGAUGAAGGUCCUCUGGAUUGUAAACUUCUUUUAUCUGGGAAGAAACCCAACCUUUCUAGGGUGGCUGACGGUACCAGAUGAAUAAGCACCGGCUAACUCCGUG